AUAACUCGGAAGAAGAAAACAAGCCUAACUUAAGAAGAUAAUGAAUGUUGAGAAACCACGAAGAAGCAGCAAGUACAGCGGAAGCGGGGUUUGAAGCCAAGGUUUUCCGCUCUUGAUUUUGAAUCAAGUCUCUGAAGUCUUUUUUAUUUACACGUUUUUGAAAUCUUGCAAUUCUCGAAGUACUGCAUGUAUCCUUGAUGCUAGAAUGAAAUUGUCGAUGUUAUUAGUUCAAAAA